AGAGUUUGAUCCUGGCUCAGGAUGAACGCUAGCGACAGGCUUAACACAUGCAAGUCGAGGGGCAUCAUGAGGUAGCAAUACCUUGAUGGCGACCGGCGCACGGGUGAGUAACGCGUAUGCAACCUGCCCGAUACCGGGGUAUAGCCCAUGGAAACGUGGAUUAACACCCCAUAGUACUUUUAUCCUGCAUGGGAUGUGAGUUAAAUGUUCAAGGUAUCGGAUGGGCAUGCGUCCUAUUAGUUAGUUGGCGGGGUAACAGCCCACCAAGACGAUGAUAGGUAGGGGUUCUGAGAGGAAGGUCCCCCACAUUGGAACUGAGACACGGUCCAAACUCCUACGGGAGGCAGCAGUGAGGAAUAUUGGUCAAUGGGCGAGAGCCUGAACCAGCCAAGUCGCGUGAGGGAAGACUGCCCUAUGGGUUGUAAACCUCUUUUAUAAGGGAAGAAUAAGUUCUACGUGUAGAAUGAUGCCUGUACCUUAUGAAUAAGCAUCGGCUAACUCCGUGCCAGCAGCCGCGGUAAUACGGAGGAUGCGAGCGUUAUCCGGAUUUAUUGGGUUUAAAGGGUGCGUAGGCGGUUUAUUAAGUUAGUGGUUAAAUAUUUGAGCUAAACUCAAUUGUGCCAUUAAUACUGGUAAACUGGAGUACAGACGAGGUAGGCGGAAUAAGUUAAGUAGCGGUGAAAUGCAUAGAUAUAACUUAGAACUCCGAUAGCGAAGGCAGCUUACCAGACUGUAACUGACGCUGAUGCACGAGAGCGUGGGUAGCGAACAGGAUUAGAUACCCUGGUAGUCCACGCCGUAAACGAUGCUCACUGGUUCUGUGCGAUAUAUUGUACGGGAUUAAGCGAAAGUAUUAAGUGAGCCACCUGGGGAGUACGUCGGCAACGAUGAAACUCAAAGGAAUUGACGGGGGCCCG
rnacentral:rRNA from 1 species